rnacentral:rRNA from 1 species
GACGAACCGUGCGAACGUUGUUCGGAAUCACUGGGCUUAAAGGGCGCGUAGGCGGGCCAUAAAGUCAGGGGUGAAAUCCUCCAGCUUAACUGGAGAACUGCCUUUGAUACUGAUGGUCUCGAGUAAGGUAGGGGCAUGCGGAACUGAUGGUGGAGCGGUGAAAUGUGUUGAUAUCAUCAGGAACUCCGGUGGCGAAGGCGGCAUGCUGGACCUUCACUGACGCUGAGGCACGAAAGCGUGGGGAGCAAACAGG